GUAGUCCACGCCCUAAACGAUGUCUACUAGUUGUCGGGUCUUAAUUGACUUGGUAACGCAGCUAACGCGUGAAGUAGACCGCCUGGGGAGUACGGUCGCAAGAUUAAAACUCAAAGGAAUUGACGGGGACCCGCACAAGCGGUGGAUGAUGUGGAUUAAUUCGAUGCAACGCGAAAAACCUUACCUACCCUUGACAUGGAUGGAAUCCCGGAGAGAUUUGGGAGUGCCCGAAAGGGAACCAUCACACAGGUGCUGCAUGGCUGUCGUCAGCUCGUGUCGUGAGAUGUUGGGUUAAGUCCCGCAACGAGCGCAACCCUUGUCAUUAGUUGCUACGAAAGGGCACUCUAAUGAGACUGCCGGUGACAAACCGGAGGAAGGUGGGGAUGACGUCAGGUCAUCAUGGCCCUUAUGGGUAGGGCUACACACGUCAUACAAUGGCCGGGACAGAGGGCUGCCAACCCGCGAGGGGGAGCUAAUCCCAGAAACCCGGUCGUAGUCCGGAUCGCAGUCUGCAACUCGACUGCGUGAAGUCGGAAUCGCUAGUAAUCGCGGAUCAGCUUGCCACGGUGAAUACGUUCCCGGGUCUUGUACACACCGCCCGUCACACCAUGGGAGCGGGUUCUGCCAGAAGUAGUUAGCCUAACCGCAAGGAGGGCGAUUACCACGGCAGGGUUCGUGACUGGGGUG
rnacentral:rRNA from 1 species